UUAAGCGACUAAGCGUACACGGUGGAUGCCCUGGCAGUCAGAGGCGAUGAAGGACGUGCUAAUCUGCGAAAAGCGCCGGCGAGGUGAUAUGAACCUUUGACCCGGCGAUGUCCGAAUGGGGAAACCCAGUGCAAUUCGUUGCACUAUCGUUAACUGAAUACAUAGGUUAACGAGGCGAACCGGGGGAACUGAAACAUCUAAGUACCCCGAGGAAAAGAAAUCAACCGAGAUUCCCCCAGUAGCGGCGAGCGAACGGGGAGCAGCCCGGAGUCUGAAUCAGCUUGUGUGUUAGUGGAACGGUCUGGAAAGUCCGACGGUACAGGGUGAUAGUCCCGUACACGAAAGCACACAUGCUGUGAACUCGAAGAGUAGGGCGGGACACGUGGUAUCCUGUCUGAAUAUGGGGGGACCAUCCUCCAAGGCUAAAUACUCCUGACUGACCGAUAGUGAACCAGUACCGUGAGGGAAAGGCGAAAAGAACCCCGGCGAGGGGAGUGAAAAAGAACCUGAAACCGUGUACGUACAAGCAGUGGGAGCACCUUCGUGGUGUGACUGCGUACCUUUUGUAUAAUGGGUCAGCGACUUAUAUUCUGUAGCAAGGUUAACCGUAUAGGGGAGCCGAAGGGAAACCGAGUCUUAACUGGGCGUUAAGUUGCAGGGUAUAGACCCGAAACCCGGUGAUCUAGCCAUGGGCAGGUUGAAGGUUGGGUAACACUAACUGGAGGACCGAACCGACUAAUGUUGAAAAAUUAGCGGAUGACCUGUGGCUGGGGGUGAAAGGCCAAUCAAACCGGGAGAUAGCUGGUUCUCCCCGAAAGCUAUUUAGGUAGCGCCUCGUGAACUCAUCUUCGGGGGUAGAGCACUGUUUCGGCUAGGGGGCCAUCCCGGCUUACCAACCCGAUGCAAACUACGAAUACCGAAGAAUGUUAUCACGGGAGACACACGGCGGGUGCUAACGUCCGUCGUGAAGAGGGAAACAACCCAGACCGCCAGCUAAGGUCCCAAAGUCAUGGUUAAGUGGGAAACGAUGUGGGAAGGCACAGACAGCCAGGAUGUUGGCUUAGAAGCAGCCAUCAUUUAAAGAAAGCGUAAUAGCUCACUGGUCGAGUCGGCCUGCGCGGAAGAUGUAACGGGGCUAAACCAUGCACCGAAGCUGCGGCAGCGACACUUAUGUGUUGUUGGGUAGGGGAGCGUUCUGUAAGCCGUCGAAGGUGUGCUGUGAGGCAUGCUGGAGGUAUCAGAAGUGCGAAUGCUGACAUAAGUAACGAUAAAGCGGGUGAAAAGCCCGCUCGCCGGAAGACCAAGGGUUCCUGUCCAACGUUAAUCGGGGCAGGGUGAGUCGACCCCUAAGGCGAGGCCGAAAGGCGUAGUCGAUGGGAAACAGGUUAAUAUUCCUGUACUUGGUGUUACUGCGAAGGGGGGACGGAGAAGGCUAUGUCAGCCGGGCGACGGUUGUCCCGGUUUAAGCAUGUAGGCGGAGGUUCCAGGUAAAUCCGGUACCUUAUUAACGCUGAGGUGUGAUGACGAGGCACUACGGUGCUGAAGUGAUAAAUGCCCUGCUUCCAGGAAAAGCCUCUAAGCAUCAGGUAACACGAAAUCGUACCCCAAACCGACACAGGUGGUCAGGUAGAGAAUACCAAGGCGCUUGAGAGAACUCGGGUGAAGGAACUAGGCAAAAUGGUGCCGUAACUUCGGGAGAAGGCACGCUGAUAUGUAGGUGAAGCCCCUGCGGGUGGAGCUGAAAUCAGUCGAAGAUACCAGCUGGCUGCAACUGUUUAUUAAAAACACAGCACUGUGCAAACACGAAAGUGGACGUAUACGGUGUGACGCCUGCCCGGUGCCGGAAGGUUAAUUGAUGGGGUUAGCGGCAACGCGAAGCUCUUGAUCGAAGCCCCGGUAAACGGCGGCCGUAACUAUAACGGUCCUAAGGUAGCGAAAUUCCUUGUCGGGUAAGUUCCGACCUGCACGAAUGGCGUAAUGAUGGCCAGGCUGUCUCCACCCGAGACUCAGUGAAAUUGAACUCGCUGUGAAGAUGCAGUGUACCCGCGGCAAGACGGAAAGACCCCGUGAACCUUUACUAUAGCUUGACACUGAACACUGGUCCUUGAUGUGUAGGAUAGGUGGGAGGCUUUGAAGCGUGGACGCCAGUCUGCGUGGAGCCAACCUUGAAAUACCACCCUUUAAUGGCUGGUGUUCUAACGUAGACCCGUAAUCCGGGUUGCGGACAGUGUCUGGUGGGUAGUUUGACUGGGGCGGUCUCCUCCCAAAGAGUAACGGAGGAGCACGAAGGUUGGCUAAUCCUGGUCGGACAUCAGGAGGUUAGUGCAAUGGCAUAAGCCAGCUUGACUGCGAGCGUGACGGCGCGAGCAGGUGCGAAAGCAGGUCAUAGUGAUCCGGUGGUUCUGAAUGGAAGGGCCAUCGCUCAACGGAUAAAAGGUACUCCGGGGAUAACAGGCUGAUACCGCCCAAGAGUUCAUAUCGACGGCGGUGUUUGGCACCUCGAUGUCGGCUCAUCACAUCCUGGGGCUGAAGUAGGUCCCAAGGGUAUGGCUGUUCGCCAUUUAAAGUGGUACGCGAGCUGGGUUUAGAACGUCGUGAGACAGUUCGGUCCCUAUCUGCCGUGGGCGCUGGAGAAUUGAGGGGGGCUGCUCCUAGUACGAGAGGACCGGAGUGGACGCAUCACUGGUGUUCGGGUUGUCAUGCCAAUGGCACUGCCCGGUAGCUAAAUGCGGAAGAGAUAAGUGCUGAAAGCAUCUAAGCACGAAACUUGCCCCGAGAUGAGUUCUCCCUGAGACUUUAAGUCUCCUGAAGGAACGUUGAAGACGACGACGUUGAUAGGUCGGGUGUGUAAGCGCAGCGAUGCGUUGAGCUAACCGAUACUAAUGAACCGUGAGGCUUAACCUU
rnacentral:rRNA from 1 species